GCGUACCAUUAGCUAGUAGGCGGGGUAAGAGCCCACCUAGGCUACGAUGGUUAGCGGGUCUGAGAGGAUGAUCCGCCACACUGGAACUGGAACACGGACCAGACUCCUACGGGAGGCAGCAGUGAGGAAUUUUGCGCAAUGGGGGCAACCCUGACGCAGCGACGCCGCGUGGGUGAUGAAGGCUUUCGAGUCGUAAAGCCCUGUCAAGUGGGAAGAAACGUUGACGUAUGAAUAGUGCGUCAAUUUGACGGUACCGCUAAAGGAAGCACCGGCUAACUCCGUGCCAGCAGCCGCGGUAAUACGGAGGGUGCAAGCGUUGUUCGGAAUUACUGGGCGUAAAGGGCGCGUAGGCGGCGCUGUAAGUCAGAUGUGAAAGUCCACGGCUCAACCGUGGAAGUGCAUCUGAUACUGCAGCGCUUGAGUAUCGGAGGGGAAAGUAGAAUUCCCGGUGUAGAGGUGAAAUUCGUAGAUAUCGGGAGGAAUACCGGUGGCGAAGGCGACUUUCUGGACGAAUACUGACGCUGAUGCGCGAAAGCGUGGGGAGCAAACAGGAUUAGAUACCCUGGUAGUCCACAGCUGUAAACGAUGUACACUAGAUGUUGGGGGUGUUGACCCCUCCAGUGUCGCAGCAAACGCAUUAA
rnacentral:rRNA from 1 species